GAUGAACGCUACAGAAUGCUUAACACAUGCAAGUCUACUUGAACUUCGGUUUGGGUGCGGACGGGUGAGUAACGCGUAAAGAACUUGCCUCACAGUUAGGGACAACAUUUGGAAACGAAUGCUAAACCUGAUAUUAUGAUUUUAGGGCAUCCUAAGAUUAUGAAGCUAUAUGCGCUGUGAGAGAGCUUUGGUCCCAUUAGCUAGUUGGAGAGGUACGGCUCCCAAGCGAUGAUGGGUAGCCGGCCUGAGAGGGUGACGGCCACAAGGGACUGAGACACGGCCUACUCCUCGGGAGGCAGCAGUGGGGAAUAUUGACAAUGGACCAAAGUCUGAUCCAGCAAUUCUGUGUGCACGAUGACGUUUUUCGGAAUGUAAAGUGCUUUCAGUUGGGAAGAAAAAAAUGACGGGUACC
rnacentral:rRNA from 1 species